rnacentral:rRNA from 1 species
CCUACGGGGGGCAGCAGUGAGGAAUAUUGGUCAAUGGACGAGAGUCUGAACCAGCCAAGUAGCGUGAAGGAUGACUGCCCUAUGGGUUGUAAACUUCUUUUAUAUGGGAAUAAAAUGUUCCACGUGUGGGAUUUUGUAUGUACCAUAUGAAUAAGGAUCGGCUAACUCCGUGCCAGCAGCCGCGGUAAUACGGAGGAUCCGAGCGUUAUCCGGAUUUAUUGGGUUUAAAGGGAGUGUAGGUGGGUUGGUAAGUCAGUUGUGAAAUUUUGCGGCUCAACCGUAGAAUUGCAGUUGAAACUGGCAGUCUUGAGUACAGUAGAGGUCGGCGGAAUUCGUGGUGUAGCGGUGAAAUGCUUAGAUAUCACGAAGAACUCCGAUUGCGAAGGCAGCUCACUGGACUGCAACUGACACUGAGGCUCGAAAGUGUGGGUAUCAAACAGGAUUAGAUACCCCUGUAGUC